GACGAACGCUGGCGGCGUGCUUAACACAUGCAAGUCGAACGGUAAGGCUCCAGCUUGCUGGGGUACACGAGUGGCGAACGGGUGAGUAACACGUGGGUGACCUGCCCUGCACUUCGGGAUAAGCCUGGGAAACUGGGUCUAAUACCGGAUAGGACCAUGGUGUGGAUACUGUGGUGGCAAGUUUUUUCGGUGUGGGAUGGGCCCGCGGCCUAUCAGCUUGUUGGUGGGGUAAUGGCCUACCAAGGCGGCGACGGGUAGCCGGCCUGAGAGGGUGGACGGCCACAUUGGGACUGAGACACGGCCCAGACUCCUACGGGAGGCAGCAGUGGGGAAUAUUGCACAAUGGGCGGAAGCCUGAUGCAGCGACGCCGCGUGGGGGAUGACGGCCUUCGGGUUGUAAACUCCUUUCACCAUCGACGAAGGGUUUCUGACGGUAGAUGGAGAAGAAGCACCGGCUAACUACGUG
rnacentral:rRNA from 1 species